GACGAAGCAGAAGAUCCAGUUUGUGGAUGUUUCCAGAGAUUGUGGAUUUAAGAUCUGAGGCUUUCUAUACUACAGGACAUGAUGGGGAGCAGCAGGAUUUCAAGGGAGUUCUCUAUUCUGUGCAAAAUACAGUGUUUGGCCUUUCUGGCUGCAGCAGGAAUUGCACCAUGCAGCAACAGAAUCUUUUGCCCAAAUAAUGAAAGCAAAAAUCUAGAGAACCCAGCUGAAAUGGGCCAAGAGCAGCUCCUCGCUGUUGAGUUUCCACACAGGUCUGUCAGUCUGACAAGAAUAAAGAGGGAGUGGGUCAUUCCAGUAAUCAACGUCCCAGAGAACGACAGGGGUCCAUAUCCCAAAAACAUU